rnacentral:rRNA from 1 species
AGAGUUUGAUCCUGGCUCAGGAUGAACGCUGGCGGCGUGCUUAACACAUGCAAGUCAAACGAAGCACUUUGGACUGAUUCUUCUGGAUGAAGUCCUUAUUGACUGAGUGGCGGACGGGUGAGUAACACGUGGGUAACCUGCCUCAUACAGGGGGAUAACAGUUAGAAAUGGCUGCUAAUACCGCAUAAGCGCACGGAACGGCAUGGAACAGUGUGAAAAACUCCGGUGGUAUGAGAUGGACCCGCGUUGGAUUACCUAGUUGGCAGGGUAACGGUCUACCAAGGCGACGAUCCAUAGCCGGCCUGAGAGGGUGGACGGCCACAUUGGGACUGAGACACGACCCAGACUCCUACGGGAGGCAGCAGUGGGGAAUAUUGCUCAAUGGGGGAAACCCUGAUGCAGCGACGCUGCGUGAGUGAAGAAGUAUUUCGGUAUGUAAAGCUCUAUCAGCAGGGAAGAAAAUGACGGUACCUGACUAAGAAGCCCCGGCUAACUACGUGCCAGCAGCCGCGGUAAUACGUAGGGGGCAAGCGUUAUCCGGAUUUCCUGGGUGUAAAGGGAGCGUAGACGGAAUGGCAAGUCUGAUGUUAAAGACCGGGGCUCAACCCCGGGACCGCAUUGGAAACUGUCAAUCUAGAGUACCGGAGGGGUAAGUGGAAUUCCUAGUUGUAGCGGUGAAAUGCGUAGAUAUUAGGAGGAACACCAGUGGCGAAGGCGGCUUACUGGACGGUAAUUGACGUUGAGGCUCGAAAGCGUGGGGAGCAAACAGGAAAAGAUACCCUGGUAGUCCACGCCGUAAAGGAUGAAUAUAGGAUGCUUGGGGGGCAAAGCUCUUCGGAUGACACAGCAAACAGCAAUAAAUAUUUCCCCGCGGGGAGUACGUUGUCAAGGAGUGGUAUUUAAAGGAGUUGACGGGAAUCCGCCACAAGCUGUGGAGCAGAUGGUUUAAUUUGAAGCAACGCGAAGAUCCUUUACCAAAUACUGUCAUCGAUCUGGCCGGAGUGUAAUGAGUCGUUUUCCCUUCAAGAGACAGAGAAGACAGGCGGUGCAUGGUUGUCGUCAGCUUGUGUCGUGAUAAGUUGGGUUAAGUCCGGCUACGAGCUGCAACCCUUAUCCUCAGUAUCCAGCAAGUGGAAGUGUGUGGCACUCUGUGGUGACUGCCAGGGAUCACUUCGGAGGAAGGUGGGGACGACGUCGAAUCAUCAUGCCCCUUAUGAUUUGGGCUACACACGUGUUACAAUGGCGUAAACAAAGGGAAGCGAUCACCCGAGUGCGAGCAAAUCUCAAAAAUAACGUCUCAGUUCGGAUUGUAGUAUGCAACUCGACUACAUGAAGUCGGAAUCGCUAGUAAUCGCAGGUCAGCAUAAUGCGGUGAAUACGUUCCCGGCUCUUGCACACACCGCCCGUCA